UAAGUUUGUGUUAGUCAAGUC
rnacentral:piRNA from 1 species